AUUGUGGACUCGUAUGAAAGGCAAAAUGAGAGCCUGACUGUCUCUUACAGCUAAUCAAUUAAACUGAUCUCCCAGUACAAAAGCUGGAAUACCCCCAUAAGACCAGAAGACCCUGUGAAGCUUUAACUAACCUAUUAAACCCUAUAAUAACUAAUUUCGGUUGGGGCGACCUUGGAACAAAAAAGAACUUCCAACAUAUGACCUCCUCAUAAAUAAGGCAAACAAGCCACAUUAGACCCAGUAUAUCUGAUUAAUGAACCAAGUUACUCCAGGGAUAACAGCGCUAUCUUCUUCAAGAGCCCAUAUCAAAAAGAAGGUUUACGACCUCGAUGUUGGAUCAGGACAUCCUAGUAAUGCAACCGUUACUGAGGGUUCGUUUGUUCAACGAUUAACAGUCCUA
rnacentral:rRNA from 1 species